rnacentral:tRNA from 1 species
GCAGGGAUAGCCAAGCUGGUCAACUAGCUUUAGUCAAGGAAGACUAAAGGCGCUGGACUCAAGAUCCAGUCUCGAAGGAGUUCGAGGGUUCGAAUCCCCCUCCCUGCACCA